AGAGUUUGAUCAUGGCUCAGGACGAACGCUGGCGGCAUGCCUUACACAUGCAAGUCGAACGGCAGCACGGGGGCAACCCUGGUGGCGAGUGGCGAACGGGUGAGUAAUACAUCGGAACGUGCCCAGUAGUGGGGGAUAGCCCGGCGAAAGCGGGACUAAUACCCGAUUAUGCAGCGGCACCGCAUGGUGACAGUUGUUAAAAGCCGCAAGGCGCCUGGAGAUGAGCCUGCGUCCCAUUAGGUAGUUGGCGGGGUAACGGCCCACCAAGCCCGCGAUGGGUAGCUGGUCUGAGAGGAUGGCCAGCCACACUGGAACUGAGACACGGUCCAGACUCCUACGGGAGGCAGCAGUGAGGAAUAUUGCGCAAUGGCCGAAAGGCUGACGCAGCGACGCCGCGUGAGGGAUGAAGCCCGUUAGGAUGUAAACCUCUUUUGCAGGGGAUGAAGCUGCCGCUACAGGCGGCAGUCGACCGUACCCUGCGAAUAAGGGUCGGCUAACUACGUGCCAGCAGCCGCGGUAAUACGUAGGACCCGAGCGUUGUCCGGAUUUACUGGGUGUAAAGGGCGUGUAGGUGGGCGCCUAAGUCGAUGGUGAAAUCCUGCGGCUCAACCGUAGAAUUGCCGUCGAUACUGGGCGUCUUGAGUACGGCAGAGGGAGAUGGAAUUCAUGGUGUAGCGGUGAAAUGUGUAGAUAUCAUGAAGAACACCGGUAGCGAAGCGGUCUCCUGGUCCGUUACUGACACUGAGGCGCGAAAGCGUGGGAGCAAACAGGAUUAGAUACCCUGGUAGUCCACGCCUUAACGAUGGGUACUAGGUGCUGGGCCGCAAGGUCAGUGCAAAGCUACGCAUUAGUACCCCACUGGGAGUACGAUCGCAGUGAACUCAAGGAAUUG
rnacentral:rRNA from 1 species